rnacentral:rRNA from 1 species
CAAAAACAUUGCUUUCUGAGAAAGAUAGAAAGUAUGGUCUGCCCAGUGAGUGAUUUUAACGGCCGCAAUAUUUGUGCGAAGGUAGCAUAAUCAUUUGUCUUUUAAUUGAUGACUGGAAUGAAUGGCUGGACGGGGAAAUACUGUCUUAUUUAUAUUUAUUUGAAAUUUACUUUCAAGUUAAAAGGCUUGAAUUUUAUAGAGGGACGAGAAGACCCUAUAGAGUUUUAUAGAGGAUAUUUAAAUUUUUCUUUAAUUUAAUAUUUUAUUAUUUAGUUGGGGAGACAUUGUAAUAAAAUCUAUAUAAGAAUUAAUAGACAAUAAGUUUUUAUGAUCCAUAAUUUAUGAUAGUUAGAUUAAAUUACCUUAGGGAUAACAGCGUAAUAUUUUUUUAGAGUCCAAAUCGAUUAAAAUGCUUGCGACCUCGAUGUUGGAUUAAAGAACCUAAUUUGGAGAAGAAGCUAAUUUAGGUAGUCUGUUCGACUAUUAAAUCUUUAC